UACGUAGGGUGCGAGCGUUAAUCGGAAUUACUGGGCGUAAAGCGUGCGCAGGCGGCUUCGCAAGUCAGACGUGAAAUCCCCGGGCUUAACCUUGGAAUGGCGUUUGAAACUACGGAGCUGGAGUGUGGCAGAGGGAGGUAGAAUUCCACGUGUAGCGGUGAAAUGCGUAGAUAUGUGGAGGAGCACCGAUGGCGAAGGCAAUCCCCUGGGCCUGCACUGACGCUCAUGCACGAAAGCGUGGGGAGCAAACAGG
rnacentral:rRNA from 1 species